rnacentral:rRNA from 1 species
AUUGAACGCUGGCGGCAGGCUUAACACAUGCAAGUCGAGCGGAGAUGAGGUGCUUGCACCUUAUCUUAGCGGCGGACGGGUGAGUAAUGCUUAGGAAUCUGCCUAUUAGUGGGGGACAACAUUCCGAAAGGAAUGCUAAUACCGCAUACGCCCUACGGGGGAAAGCAGGGGAUCUUCGGACCUUGCGCUAAUAGAUGAGCCUAAGUCGGAUUAGCUAGUUGGUGGGGUAAAGGCCUACCAAGGCGACGAUCUGUAGCGGGUCUGAGAGGAUGAUCCGCCACACUGGGACUGAGACACGGCCCAGACUCCUACGGGAGGCAGCAGUGGGGAAUAUUGGACAAUGGGCGGAAGCCUGAUCCAGCCAUGCCGCGUGUGUGAAGAAGGCCUUUUGGUUGUAAGCACUUUAAGCGAGGAGGAGGCUACCUGGAUUAAUACUCUAGGAUAGUGGACGUUACUCGCAGAAUAAGCACCGGCUAACUCUGUGCCAGCCGCCGCCGCGGUAA